rnacentral:rRNA from 1 species
GACGAACGCUGGCGGCAUGCCUAAUACAUGCAAGUCGAGCGAACAGAUGAAGUGCUUGCACUUCUGACGUUAGCGGCGAACGGGUGAGUAACACGUAAGGAAUCUACCUAUAAGCGGGGGAUAACAUUCGGAAACGGGUGCUAAUACCGCAUAAUAUCUUCUUCCGCAUGGAAGAAGAUUGAAAGACGGCUCUGCUGUCACUUAUAGAUGACCUUGCGGUGCAUUAGUUAGUAGGUGGGGUAACGGCCUACCAAGACGAUGAUGCAUAGCCGGCCUGAGAGGGUGAUCGGCCACAUUGGUACUGAGACCCGGCCCAAACUCCAACGGGAGGCAGCAGUAGGGAAUCUACCACAAUGGGCGAAAGCCUGACGGAGCAAUGCCGCGUGAGUGAAGAAGGCCUUCGGGUCGUAAAACUCUGUUAUAAGAGAAGAACAAAUUGUAGAGUAACGGCUACAGUCUUGACGGGAUCUUAUCAGAAAGCCACGGCUAACUACGUGCCAGCCGCCGCGGUAA